rnacentral:lncRNA from 10 species
AUGCUGUUCCCGUAACACCCAGCACCAGUCCCCAAGGAUGAGUGCUGAAGAUCCAUAGCCAUGGCAGGGCAGGGCCUAGGUACUGAAGGAAGAUCCCACUCAGAGUUCAGUUCCACCCACUGCAAAACGCCCUCCGAGGACCCUCACUAGACCAGUUCCUCCAAGUGCGGUCCGCAGGCUGCCAUCAGCGGGAUCACGGGCCUUGUAUGACCUCUGAAAAUAUGACCUGAAGCAGAUGGAUGCACUCACAUAAGAAACAUCACCUGUGGCCUUCAUCGGUAAGCAUGGAUUGCUGUUUUCACUCAGGGGCUUUGAAGGAAGACACCUUUGAUCAUUGGGCUGCCUCUACUUUUCGCUGAGUUGUCACUAUUAAAUGCCCUUCCCUGGCUUUGCCUUCUCUCUUCUCCACCAGAAAAUGGGCCUGCUGCUUGAAGAAGUUGGGCUCUUGGAGUUCUCUAGCACAGGGGCCAUGAAAAUCAAUGACUUCCUUGUUUGCUGACGGAGCAGAGGUAGAAUCUCUUGGUGUUUCCACGGAGAAAACACUGACCAUGAAGAGCCAAGAAAGAUGACAUGAUGAAGCCAUCAGGGGAAGCACCAAACAUCCUCAACUCUGCUCACCCAUGGUUUUCUCCCGCCCUCCCAGAGCUCCUCCUGCUGGCCUUCAUUGGCAUCACCAGCACUGGAGCUAUUCCAGUGAGGAUUUUUGCUGCGGCACAUCACGGAGUGGCAUGAGAGGUCAGAGAACUCCUAGUAUCCCCCAAAUAUCCAUUCUGUUCUUCUUCCUUAGUGAUGGGCCCCCGACAUGAAACUGGCACUCAGAAUGAAGAAUGC